CGCGAAGAACCUUACCAAGUCUUGACAUCCUUUGACCACCCUAGAGAUAGGGCUUUCCCUUCGGGGACAAAGUGACAGGUGGUGCAUGGUUGUCGUCAGCUCGUGUCGUGAGAUGUUGGGUUAAGUCCCGCAACGAGCGCAACCCCUAUUAUUAGUUGCCAGCAUUCAGUUGGGCACUCUAAUGAGACUGCCGGUGACAAACCGGAGGAAGGUGGGGAUGACGUCAAAUCAUCAUGCCCCUUAUGACCUGGGCUACACACGUGCUACAAUGGGAAGUACAACGAGUCGCGAAGUCGCGAGGCUAAGCUAAUCUCUUAAAGCUUCUCUCAGUUCGGAUUGCAGGCUGCAACUCGCCUGCAUGAAGCCGGAAUCGCUAGUAAUCGCGGAUCAGCACGCCGCGGUGAAUACGUUCCCGGGUCUUGUACACACC
rnacentral:rRNA from 1 species